UCCUACGGGGGGCAGCAGUAGGGAAUAUCGCUCAAUGGGGGAAACCCUGAAGCAGCAACGCCGCGUGGAGGAUGAAGGUUUUCGGAUUGUAAACUCCUUUUGUUAGAGAAGAUAAUGACGGUAUCUAACGAAUAAGCACCGGCUAACUCCGUGCCAGCAGCCGCGGUAAUACGGAGGGUGCAAGCGUUACUCGGAAUCACUGGGCGUAAAGAGCGCGUAGGCGGGAUAGCAAGUCAGAUGUGAAAUCCUAUGGCUUAACCAUAGAACUGCAUUUGAAACUGUUAUUCUAGAGUAUGGGAGAGGUA
rnacentral:rRNA from 1 species